rnacentral:rRNA from 1 species
GACGAACGCUGGCGGCGUGCUUAACACAUGCAAGUCGAACGGAAAGGCCCUGCUUUUGUGGGGUGCUCGAGUGGCGAACGGGUGAGUAACAUGUGAGUAACCUGCCCUUGACUUUGGGAUAACUUCAGGAAACUGGGGCUAAUACCGGAUAGGGGCUCCUGCUGCAUGGUGGGGGUUGGAAAGUUUCGGCGGUUGGGGAUGGACUCGCGGCUUAUCAGCUUGUUGGUGGGGUAGUGGCUUACCAAGGCUUUGACGGGUAGCCGGCCUGAGAGGGUGACCGGCCACAUUGGGACUGAGAUACGGCCCAGACUCCUACGGGAGGCAGCAGUGGGGAAUAUUGCACAAUGGGCGGAAGCCUGAUGCAGCAACGCCGCGUGCGGGAUGACGGCCUUCGGGUUGUAAACCGCUUUCGCCUGUGACGAAGCGUGAGUGACGGUAAUGGGUAAAGAAGCACCGGCUAACUACGUG